CACGUAGGGUGCGAGCAUUGUCCGGAAUUAUUGGGCGUAAAGAGCUCGUAGGCGGUUUGUCGCGUCUGCUGUGAAAACCCGAGGCUCAACCUCGGGCCUGCAGUGGGUACGGGCAGACUAGAGUGCGGUAGGGGAGAUUGGAAUUCCUGGUGUAGCGGUGGAAUGCGCAGAUAUCAGGAGGAACACCAAUGGCGAAGGCAGAUCUCUGGGCCGUAACUGACGCUGAGGAGCGAAAGCAUGGGGAGCGAACAGG
rnacentral:rRNA from 1 species